GACGGAAGGUGCAAGCGUUGCUCGGAAUCACUGGGCGUAAAGGGUGCGUAGGCGGCCGUGCAAGUCUGGCGUGAAAGCCCCGGGCUCAGCCCGGGAAGUGCGCUCGAAACUGCGCGGCUCGAGUGCCGGAGGGGAGAGUGGAAUUCCUGGUGUAGCGGUGAAAUGCGCAGAUAUCAGGAGGAACACCGGUGGCGAAGGCGGAUCUCUGGGCCAUUACUGACGCUGAGGAGCGAAAGCGUGGGGAGCGAACAGG
rnacentral:rRNA from 1 species